AUGGCACCUUCCCGGCAUUGACGAAGCCGCAAACCUCAGGGUACCUCUGGAGGUAUUUACUGUUUUCUCCGGGAGCAACGCUUUUCAAAUGAAAUUCUCCCCUCCUCCUCCUAACUAUUGAUUGAUCAAGACAAAUCUUGACUUCUGACUGGAACCCUAGCUUGGAAGCACCGCUCACAAUUCACUGAGAGGCUUGGCCCCAAUCAGCCCAGAACCAUACAUUGGACAAAACUUCACAAAGUAACCUGCAAAACGGUCUCCUAGGGCUGGAGUUUUCGGGUGGG